GGCCCUAUGGUGUAGUGGUUAUCACGUCUUCUUCACACACAGUAGGUGUCCGGUUCGCUCCCGGAUAGGGCCG
rnacentral:tRNA from 1 species